GAUGAACGCUGGCGGCGUGCCUAAUACAUGCAAGUCGAGCGAACAGACGAGGCGCUUGCUCCUCUGACGUUAGCGGCGGACGGGUGAGUAACACGUGGAUAACCUACCUAUAAGACUGGGAUAACUUCGGGAAACCGGAGCUAAUACCGGAUAACAUGUUGAACCGCAUGGUUCAACAGUGAAAGACGGUCUUGCUGUCACUUAUAGAUGGAUCCGCGCCGCAUUAGCUAGUUGGUACGGUAACGGCUUACCAAGGCAACGAUGCGUAGCCGACCUGAGAGGGUGAUCGGCCACACUGGAACUGAGACACGGUCCAGACUCCUACGGGAGGCAGCAGUAGGGAAUCUUCCGCAAUGGGCGAAAGCCUGACGGAGCAACGCCGCGUGAGUGAAGAAGGUCUUCGGAUCGUAAAACUCUGUUAUUAGGGAAGAACAAAUGUGUAAGUAACUAUGCACGUCUUGACGGUACCUAAUCAGAAAGCCACGGCUAACUACGUG
rnacentral:rRNA from 1 species